UCCGGCUUAACGCCGGCAGUCCCCCCAGAGCCCCCGGCCGAACCGCUGGCAACUGGGAGCGAGGGUUGCGCUCGUUGCGGGACUUAACCCAACAUCUCACGACACGAGCUGACGACAGCCAUGCAGCACCUGUGCACGAGCCCCGAAGGGCUGCCGAGUUUCCACGACAUUCCCGUGCAUGUCAAGCCUAGGUAAGGUUCUUCGCGUUGCCUCGAAUUAAACCACACGCUCCGCUGCUUGUGCGGGCCCCCGCCUAUUCCUUUGAGUUUUAAUCUUGCGACCGUACUCCCCAGGCGGGAUGCUUAAUGCGUUAGCUGCGCCACUGAAGGGUAAACCCACCAACGGCUAGCAUCCAUCGUUUACGGCGUGGACUAC
rnacentral:misc_RNA from 1 species